AAAAUUGUAGUUAAAUUUAUAACAUUUGUCCUGCAAACAAAAAUUUCAACAAUUUUA
rnacentral:tRNA from 1 species